GUAGGUGAACCUGCGGAAGGAUCAUUAAAAAUAUCCCUCACCCUGGAUGAAAGUCCGGGUGGACCAGCCUGAUGGGCUCUAAACACGUAAUGCCCGUCCGGUCUCCAGUGUGAGAUCGUUCUGGUACUCGUUACUUCAAACCAUUGUGAACCUCCCGUUGCUUCGGCGGCAUGCUUCGUGCUGUCAGCCCGUCCGAGGCCCACCGAAACCACUUCUGUAAACUUCUGUCAGUAUACGAAAAGUAAAUCGUUAAAACUUUCAACAACGGAUCUCUUGGUUCUC
rnacentral:misc_RNA from 1 species